UGGGGAAUAUUGCACAAUGGGCGCAAGCCUGAUGCAGCAACGCCGCGUGAACGAUGAAGGUCUUCGGAUCGUAAAGUUCUGUUGCAGGGGAAGAUAAUGACGGUACCCUGUGAGGAGGCCCCGGCUAACUACGUGCCAGCAGCCGCGGUAAUACGUAGGGGGCUAGCGUUAUCCGGAUUUACUGGGCGUAAAGGGUGCGUAGGUGGUCUUUCAAGUCGGUGGUUAAAGGCUACGGCUCAACCGUAGUUAGCCUCCGAAACUGGAAGACUUGAGUGCAGGAGAGGAAAGUGGAAUUCCCAGUGUAGCGGUGAAAUGCGUAGAUAUUGGGAGGAACACCAGUAGCGAAGGCGGCUUUCUGGACUGCAACUGACACUGAGGAACGAAAGCGUGGGUAGCAAACAGG
rnacentral:rRNA from 1 species